AGUGGACGCUGGCGUUAGGCCUAACACAUGCAAGUCGAACGGCAGCACAGUAAGAGCUUGCUCUUACGGGUGGCGAGUGGCGGACGGGUGAGGAAUACAUCGGAAUCUACUUUUUCGUGGGGGAUAACGUAGGGAAACUCACGCUAAUACCGCAUACGACCUACGGGUGAAAGCAGGGGAUCUUCGGACCUUGCGCGAUUGAAUGAGCCGAUGUCGGAUUAGCUAGUUGGCGGGGUAAAGGCCCACCAAGGCGACGAUCCGUAGCUGGUCUGAGAGGAUGAUCAGCCACACUGGAACUGAGACACGGUCCAGACUCCUACGGGAGGCAGCAGUGGGGAAUAUUGGACAAUGGGCGCAAGCCUGAUCCAGCCAUACCGCGUGGGUGAAGAAGGCCUUCGGGUUGUAAAGCCCUUUUGUUGGGAAAGAAAAGCAGCAGGUUAAUACCCCGCUGUUCUGACGGUACCCAAAGAAUAAGCACCGGCUAACUUCGUG
rnacentral:rRNA from 1 species